rnacentral:lncRNA from 1 species
GUGAGAGAGGUUGAGUCUGGGCGAGUUGUGUAUUCAGAGAGUGAUUCUGUGGAUGUUCCUAUAGUCACCACAACAUGUGAAGGACAGCUGCUGGUGGUCUGCUAUGAUGGAGGUGAUCUAGUCAAGGUUUUUGACCUGGCCUCCUCCUGCUCUCUGCUGCACUGCGUUAACCUUUCCAUGGAGCGGCAGGCGAUCCACAAAGACCGCGCCAUUCUGCUCUCCAGCAACUCCAUCAGAGACUACGUCCUCUUUGCCUACAGGUCUGGUGGUGAGGCAGCAGUAUUCAGUGCCAGAGAAGGUUCGGUGCUGUCUGUCCUUUCUGCUCAACAUGAUUCUGCCUCUAUACAAGCUGUGGAGAUGACUGAAGACUACCUGCUCCUCUUCUGCAGAUACCCAUACAAGAGAGGCAGUGACAUCAUCCAUGUCGAGCUUUUCAGCACCAUCUCCCUCCUCUACCUGCGGUCUAUACUGGGCUGCAGCCAAGACUUCCUUUCCCAGGUCUCUGUCAACCAAGCAGGGACACAUGCCAUUGCCUUCUGCCCCUCCCCUCGUACCGGCAUCACUGACAUCGUCACCUGGAACCUGGAGACAGAGGACCACAAACAUAUCACCCGUUUCCCUGCAGUAGUGACCAGAGGCCUGUGUUUCGAUCUGCGCUUCUGCCUGGGGAUCUGCAGCGGAAAGAAGUAUCUUCAUCUGUGGGAUCUGACCUCCAGGAUCAGUGACCAGACCCUGACCUAUAACACCCAUAAGCUGAGGAGUGACGGCACAGAAGAGGUCAUCCCAAUGGGGAAAACCCUGAGGUAUGCUUUGUGCCGCUCCAUCAGAGCAGGGACAGUGUACGUGUGGAACCUGACCAGACGGCGUUUCACCUGCCGACCAGUCAGAGUGGAGCACGGCCUCUACAGCAGCACUGAUGUGAUGCUCGCCCAUGAUUUCAAACUUUACAUCUUCACAGACAGAAGCAGAAACAGCAGCAUGGACCCAUCGUAUCGAUUCCAGACUCUUCUGGUGUAUGACUUGAUUAAGCAAAGUUAUGUAAGGAGACAGACCGGGCUCGCAGUUAUUCCCUGUCCUCAGCAUGAGUACCUUCUUCUGGAGGAUGGACGGACUCUUCUGGGCCUAUCGGAGACCAGAGAUCAUCUGAUCCUGUGGGAUCUAGACUCUGGCUAUGUCAAACAUGAGAUCAAACCGUCCCACAGAGGGUCGCUUCUGUACAGCCGCUCAGUCCAAGAGCUGCAGCCUGAUGUGACACCACGCAGAGACACAUUGAUGCCUUGGGACAUCCGCACAGAGAGCCAGUCUGCAAAGAAGAGGAGGUCGGAGAGAGAGGCACAGAGGGAGACAGAGGCGGCGAGGAGGCUGGACAGAGAAAAAUACAACUGUAUAGAGCAGUACCUCCUCAGUGGAGAUGAACAGGUGGCGGUGUGCUCCUAUUUUGCUCAUCACCUUAAUGUCUUCAGCAUGGUUUCACAAGAACACCUCCACACACUGGAGGAUAAAACAUCACUGCUGAGCCUCCACACGGCAGCUAUUACCUACACCGGCAGCCACCUGGUGCUGACCAACUUUAAGCAAGAGCAGAGGACUCCCUGCAUCACCCUGUGGGACCUGCAUGAAGGAAUAGUGAGUAAAAGACUGAAGAAGGAGGCUGGAGUUUGCUGCAUAGCUAUCACAGACAACGCAGACCGAGUCCUCUUUGGGGUCACAGGAAGCAACAGGCUGACAGUGUGGGAUCCUUUCAAGAGAAACUAUAGGAGCAUCUGUGGCUAUGGGAACCUGAAAAUAGAAGUCUCCAGUAAGCUGUACAUGACGGAAGGAGGAACAAAAGCCGUCCUGCUGUCAGGACAGUUGAGCCUGUGGGACCUGGAGGCACGUAGCAUCCUGUCUGUGCUCUCCCUGGAUGCACAUGUCGGCUGUAUGAGGCUGCUCCGUGGACGUGAGAUCUGGGUCCUGCUCGGCCUUAGCCACAGCCCCGCCCUCAUCAGCAUCAGGCCCACAUCCAGGAGUGUCAGCUCAGCAACUCAAGCCUCCAGAGACGGAGACCUGUUUGGAGAGUCCAGCAGCAGUGAAGAAGAGGAGGACUCUUAG